UUAAUGAGCUAGUAAGCAUCCAAGGAGAAUUUUCAUGGCUGAGAUACUCUACCAGUGACAAAUUUGCUGAAGCAUGGAGACGAGAUUGGGAAAUUGCAGCAUGCUCCUUGGAUUUCCAAAGGGACAAUACUGAGUACGGACAUUCCUUCUCACACACACGUACGUUGGAGUGCACACACAUGAGAUGGAGAUCAAUCUUAACCCCCAAAGGUCCCUUUGUCUCACUGAAGUGCUUAUUAAAUGAAUCUAUGUUUCCACUGGCAGCUCUGAGUCAUCUAGAAAGGGAACACAAUGCGAUGUCAGUCAGUAUUUGUUACUGUCAGAGCCUUCCUCGCAGCCUGCCCUGCGUUUAUUGUCUUUUUGGGGCCCGUUUUAUCCAUUUUCUGUGGGUAAAGUCAUUAAUCUUCCUCCUGGCUCGGGUGCUGUGCAUCACUGACAGCUGGGGUCCUGGCUUCCUGGGCUGCUGGGUAAGGGCACCUCCGGGCCUCUUGGUGACAGAGUUUUGAUUAGAAAGAGUGAAGAGCAAGCCAAGCCUUUAAGAGGACCCAGGAGGCGGGGUGUAAGUGUCUGUGGUCCCAGAAGGCACUGGGGAUCAGUGGAAAAGGUCACCCUGUUUUUGAAUCAUCUGCAGUGUACCCUGACACCAAAAUACACUUAGUCCUAUGCAGAGUCACUUGAUAAAGAGGCUAAUGAAGUGGAAAGAUGUCAGCAGAGCUAAGCAGGCCAGGCUCUCGGGGAUGCACCAUGAUUCAACCUUCUGUUACCAUGGAAACCAGGGAGGCUUGGCUUCCUUUUUUCUCUCCUUCUUUUUGGAAGGUCUCUCCUUGGUAACCUUGACCCUUUCACAUUGGCAGCCAGAGACAAGAAAUUCCAUUUUCCCUUAUCUGGUCAUGGUUGGAUGGUAAGACUCUGAUGGGUGUGUGAUGGGGGAGGGGUGCUGGCCAGGGGCUCUGGAGUGCCUUAAUUCAAAUGCAUAAAGUGGAGGGUGGGAGGCGAUAGAAAAAGAACACAGUUAAUUAAGGUUGAUAUUGCAGAGAAGGUUGUUUUCUGAAUAAUAAAUUCUGUGGGCUUCAAAAACAAGUGCAAUUAAAGGAGUGCAAAAAGGAGAGACAGUUGAAGGGCAGAGGAGGACCAGUCUUUUCGGGGGUGAAAAGGGGGAUACAGGGUGCAUCUAAGAGGCCCUCACUAUGCUGGGAUCUUGAUAGGCAGAACAAAUACUGUGUUUGAUGAUCAUUUGUGACAUUGCUGCCUGUACAAAUGCUCUUUGCCUUGAGCAGUCGAGUCAUUUACAUCCUUAGCUAAAGAAGGGCUUUGAAGUUGAUCCAGAAGGGAGGAUUGGCCUUAGGUUGCUAUCAAGGAGAGGGCUUUUGCUUCAAUUUACUCUCAGAAAUGUUGUUCCUGGGCAGAUGUUUCCUCAGUCAUGUUGUACAUCACUUUUCAGUUCAAGUGCCCACUACACCUUUCUGUUCUCUGUGUCUUCUGGAAUAAAUUAUUGAUUGAGAAACAUGUAUAAAUUCCUGGCCAGUUAAAGCUUGGUGCUCCUUGGGCUGGACGUCCAAUCCUGAAUCAGACGGAGGAGUGGGUGGCCAAUGACAUGCAGUCUUAACAUAGCCCCCUUACCCACCCCUCAAUAGUAAUAUGGGUUUGAACGAGUUUUUACAGAAAUAAAUAUAGUGUCAGCCUCACCCAAACAUCUUUUCUGUUAUAGAAACCUUUACUUAACUUCAACAGAUGUCAAGAAAGUAAUAUGUAUCUUUUACAAUAAUUAUUAUAAAGGUAAAAAUCUUAGCCUGUCCUAUGUUAUAAAGGUGUUUUUCUUUUACAACUGUGAAUCAGGAAACACAUCUUCAGGUGUGUACAAGAUCUGGGAGAUCUCAGAUUUGGCUAGGCUACCGGGGAGGAAGUUCUCCAUGGUUGACAAAGGUGGCUAGGUUUUCAGGAUUUUCCUAAUCCACCCAUUCUUAUCACAUUUUAAUUGGUGACCCCACUUGGGGCUGGGGUGAUGUGACUGGGAAAAGGGCUGGAGGGAACCACACUCCCUCAUCCAGCUAAGAACCACACUCCCUCAUCCGUAUUCCCUCAUCCAGCUGGCAUAGGGGAACGCUGAGAGCAGAAGGGAUUUUACCUCCCUUCACAUAGAUUGUGUAUAGAGAUUUCCUGUGUAUGAC
rnacentral:lncRNA from 1 species